CCUUGGGUUGCCCAGUGGCCGUGCGGGGAGGAAUGCCUGACUCCACGGGCCAUGGCGAAGGAAGAGAAGGUCCCCCUUUUCUGGAUCGAUGAUGAUCAAUGCCAGCGUAUGAGGCAUCGAUGACGAAUAAUGUGUGUCUGGAACUCUGAGGUCCACUCGCAAGGAAACGGGGCCUUUCUCUUCCUGCCUUUCCAUCCUCGAGCCCAACGGGGCAGCGCCGACCGCCCGAGGAGCCCAGUCGAUGGCGUCUCACUGUGGGUGUCACCUUGUCUCUUGGGUCUCCCUUAUAGGGUGGAAGCCGAAGGCCAGGCCAGGCUGCGUGGGGCCGAGACCCCUCCUCUGGCGGUGGUGGCAGGAGAGAGCCCAAGGGUGGAAGCCGAAGGCCAGGCCAGGCUGCGUGGGGCCGAGACCCCUCCUCUGGCGGUGGUGGCAGGAGAGAUCCCAAGGUGAGGCAUGGCCUCGGGCUGUCUUGGUUUGGGUCAUCGGGGCCAGUGUUUUCCAUGUCUUUAAAAUGUCCUAUGUAGAAUCCCCAGGUGACUAAUCGUCCCUUGAGAACUAAGGCAUGAACCUUUAUGCUGGUUAAUUGACAAUAGGGAUUUCACCAAAGGAAGAUACAAUCUCUUUUGGUACUACUUAGAUCAUCAGGGAUAUUCAAGUGUCUUGUACUCUGAUUUUCGUUAAUCAAGUACUUCUUGUUAUGAAGGAAACAUUAAAUUGAUCCCAAAACAUGAACAUGGGAAGUGACAUUGGCCUAAUGUACCCGUGAUGAUUAGAACAUGGGUCAGGUGCCAGUGGUGAGUCAUGAAUGACGCAUGAUAAGGGUCUGAAGCCCUGUGGCCCCACACAGUCCAUCCUCUUUGGCUCUGUUUAGGCCAUCCUGUGGACAGGUGUUAGGAACACAGAAAGUUCGGGUUCUUACAGCGUAUACGUUUUCAAAGUAUUCAUACAGCAAGGAGAACACCAUGAAAGUUAUAGGUAAUAGUUGAAGAGCAUAUGUUGUUGUCUAAUUAUGAGCAAAUAUGUUGAAGAAAGAAAUAUUAAUCAAAAUUGCCAACAGCAGCGCUCCUUAUGAGAUAAGUCAGUCAAACGGUCACCUUUGUGGCCAAUUAUCAGAGAGACUUGAAGAGUUGUAAGUGUUAGAAAUUUCCUGUAUUGUUGUGAGUCAGUUUCAAGUUUGAGGUAGUUCUUUCAGUCAAGAGACAAAACAGUCUCUAAAGCAUGGCUAUGCUUUACAUUGUUAAGUAACAGGGCAGAUGAAAUGUAGAGGCAAGACGCGACGGUGAUCCCUUUUCUUUUCUUUCUCUUUUUCAUCAUUGGCUGUGCUUUGUGCUGUCAAACGUGCUCACGCUGGAGCGGAUUGAGCGUGAUCCCACGGUGACGUCACACGUCUUCUUGGGUGUUGAGAAUGAUUGAGUGUCUGAAUGACUGUGUGGGAAUUGCUGAAUCCGUCAAUGAAGUAAUACACGUGAAGGAGGCACAGAGACCCCGUCACGGACCAGUGAUGAGGCGCGUGACGGGAAGAGUCCUGAAGGAAGAAAGCAUCUCUGAAACUCUGAGGUCUGUCCCAGCACCUAAGGAGUCUCCUCUCUUGGGGGAAAUUGUGUCUGUAGAGAGAUGCCAGGGGUAUACAAAGGUCAUGUGUUCUCGUAUUUAUUUCUUUGUCGUGGGUUUGUUAGGAAUGGCUGCGUGCCAGAAUCAUUAAGCAAAUAUUAGUAAGUGUAUACGGAAAAAAUAUGUUCGUGCAUUGUAGAAGUAGCAAUUGUCUUGGGAGUUAAUAGAUACUGUGCAUAAACAUUGAAAACCUUGAUUCUGUGAAAUAAAUUGGAACGGGUCACCUCUUUGUUCA
rnacentral:lncRNA from 1 species